rnacentral:rRNA from 1 species
AACGAACGCUGGCGGCAGGCUUAACACAUGCAAGUCGAGCGCCCCGCAAGGGGAGCGGCAGACGGGUGAGUAACGCGUGGGAACGUACCUUUUGGUUCGGAACAACUCCGGGAAACUGGAGCUAAUACCGGAUAAGCCCUAACGGGGAAAGAUUUAUCGCCGAAAGAUCGGCCCGCGUCUGAUUAGCUAGUUGGUGAGGUAACAGCUCACCAAGGCGACGAUCAGUAGCUGGUCUGAGAGGAUGAUCAGCCACACUGGGACUGAGACACGGCCCAGAAUCCUACGGGAGGGGGCAGUGGGGAAUAUUGGACAAUGGGCGCAAGCCUGAUCCAGCCAGGCCGCGUGAGUGAUGAAGGCCUUAGGGUUGUAAAGCUCUUUUGUCCGGGAAGAUAAUGACUGUACCGGAAGAAUAAGCCCCGGCUAACUUCGUG